AGGGUUGUGGCUCAGUGGUAGAGCGCUUGCCUAGCAUGUGUGAGGCACUGGGUUCGAUCCCCAGCAACACAU
rnacentral:tRNA from 1 species